GAGCUUGCUCCACCGGAAAAAGAGGAGUGGCGAACGGGUGAGUAACACGUGGGUAACCUGCCCAUCAGAAGGGGAUAACACUUGGAAACAGGUGCUAAUACCGUAUAACAAUCGAAACCGCAUGGUUUUGAUUUGAAAGGCGCUUUCGGGUGUCGCUGAUGGAUGGACCCGCGGUGCAUUAGCUAGUUGGUGAGGUAACGGCUCACCAAGGCCACGAUGCAUAGCCGACCUGAGAGGGUGAUCGGCCACAUUGGGACUGAGACACGGCCCAAACUCCUACGGGAGGCAGCAGUAGGGAAUCUUCGGCAAUGGACGAAAGUCUGACCGAGCAACGCCGCGUGAGUGAAGAAGGUUUUCGGAUCGUAAAACUCUGUUGUUAGAGAAGAACAAGGAUGAGAGUAACUGUUCAUCCCUUGACGGUAUCUAACCAGAAAGCCACGGCUAACUACGUGCCAGCAGCCGCGGUAAUACGUAGGUGGCAAGCGUUGUCCGGAUUUAUUGGGCGUAAAGCGAGCGCAGGCGGUUUCUUAAGUCUGAUGUGAAAGCCCCCGGCUCAACCGGGGAGGGUCAUUGGAAACUGGGAGACUUGAGUGCAGAAGAGGAGAGUGGAAUUCCAUGUGUAGCGGUGAAAUGCGUAGAUAUAUGGAGGAACACCAGUGGCGAAGGCGGCUCUCUGGUCUGUAACUGACGCUGAGGCUCGAAAGCGUGGGGAGCAAACAGGAUUAGAUACCCUGGUAGUCCACGCCGUAAACGAUGAGUGCUAAGUGUUGGAGGGUUUCCGCCCUUCAGUGCUGCAGCUAACGCAUUAAGCACUCCGCCUGGGGAGUACGACCGCAAGGUUGAAACUCAAAGGAAUUGACGGGGGCCCGCACAAGCGGUGGAGCAUGUGGUUUAAUUCGAAGCAACGCGAAGAACCUUACCAGGUCUUGACAUCCUUUGACCACUCUAGAGAUAGAGCUUCCCCUUCGGGGGCAAAGUGACAGGUGGUGCAUGGUUGUCGUCAGCUCGUGUCGUGAGAUGUUGGGUUAAGUCCCGCAACGAGCGCAACCCUUAUUGUUAGUUGCCAUCAUUCAGUUGGGCACUCUAGCAAGACUGCCGGUG
rnacentral:rRNA from 1 species